rnacentral:rRNA from 1 species
CCUACGCGUGGCAGCAGUGGGGAAUAUUGCGCAAUGGGGGGAACCCCGACGCAGCCAUGCCGCGUGAAUGAAGAAGGCCUUCGGGGUGUAAAGUUCUUUCGGUAUUGAGGAAGGUUGAUGUGUUAACAGUACAUCAAAUUGACGUUAAAUACAGAAGAAGCACCGGCUAACUCCGUGCCAGCAGCCGCGGUAAUACGGAGGGUGCGAGCGUUAAUCGGAAUAACUGGGCGUAAAGGGCACGCAGGCGGUUAUUUAAGUGAGGUGUGAAAGCCCCGGGCUUAACCUGGGAAUUGCAUUUCAGACUGGGUAAUUAGAGUACUUUAGAGAGGGGUAGAAUUCCACGUGUAGCGGUGAAAUGCGUAGAGAUGUGGAGGAAUACCGAAGGCGAAGGCAGCCCCUUGGGAAUGUACUGACGCUCAUGUGCGAAAGCGUGGGGAGCAAACAGGAUUAGAUACCCCAGUAGUC